CCUACGGGCGGCAGCAGUGGGGAAUAUUGGACAAUGGGCGAAAGCCUGAUCCAGCCAUGCCGCGUGUGUGAAGAAGGCCUUCGGGUUGUAAAGCACUUUCAGUGGGGAAGAAAGCCUUGGGGCUAAUACCCUCGAGGAAGGACAUCACCCACAGAAGAAGCACCGGCUAACUCCGUGCCAGCAGCCGCGGUAAUACGGAGGGUGCGAGCGUUAAUCGGAAUUACUGGACGUAAAGCGCGCGUAGGCGGUCUGAUAAGCCGGUUGUGAAAGCCCCGGGCUCAACCUGGGAACGGCAUCCGGAACUGUCAGGCUAGAGUGCAGGAGAGGAAGGUAGAAUUACCGGUGUAGCGGUGAAAUGCGUAGAGAUCGGGAAGAAUACCAGUGGCGAAGGCGGCCUUCUGGACUGUCACUGACGCUGAGGUGCGAAAGCGUGGGUAGCAAACAGGAUUAGAUACCCCAGUAGUC
rnacentral:rRNA from 1 species